UGUCAUGAUGUUGUGACGCUAUGGGAACGCCCCUGCAUGAGCCAGGGUCUGAAGCACAAGUGGGAAAUGCCAGCAUGUGUCAGCACGUCAACAAGAUCAUAAACAGAAGCCAGAAACACAGGCCACCAGAUUCUAAUUGUCCAAAGGAAGAUGUUUUCAGGCAUUGCAUAAAGUAUGGCAAGGCAACACAUCAUUGCGUUCCCUCUCAGGGAACCAGGUUACAUAAGUAACUUGAGGCGUUCCCUUUCAAGUGGAAUGGCAUCAACAAUCCAAUGAGAUAACCUCUGCUUGGAGACUGGAGAACCUCUACCAUGACCCCCAAGCAGACCAGUUUGAUCGGAUUUACGCCACAAGCCCGAGUGGUCAACAUAAAUCCUCAGUGACCUGACUGGACACAAAAGGUGCAACAUUGCUGCAGGCGCAAAAACCCAUUUAUUUCUGCAUUAGAGGCCUCCUACAACAAUAUGUAAAAGACAGGCUCACGCAGAUGUGUUCCCAUAGUGCAGGGGCGGACUGGGGCAAAAAAGUGGCCCUGGACUUUCUGGCACAAAGCAGCCCGUCACACCCGUCCGCAACACACCUCACCAUAAAACCCAGCAGCUCAUUAUGCAUAUGAGACAUUUUUUACACCACUUACUAACAUAAAAAUAUAAAUGCUAUUUAUACAGAAAUAUUUUUUUAAUUAUUGAAAUGCUUAUUAUUAACAUUAAUGAAUGACUGGCAUGCUUCUUUUAUGUUAGAAUUUGUCUUUCCUGGUGCACAUGGCAAAUAGUAAAUAAUUUUGAAAAAAAUUCAAAUCUCUUUUCCAUACAGGAAAGUUUAAUAUCACUAUAAUUAAUACCUACCAAUAAAUCAGUCCAUAUAUAACAAUGUUCUGGUAUGGUCUAUAAGACUUAGAAUGUAGAGCAGAAUGUGGACUGUUUUAUGGUGCCUUUCUAGUGGUUAUAGUAUUAGUCCUUUCAGGAGAUUGACAACUUUCAUUUUAUGGAAUAGAGGUCCAAUUGUGGAAAAGAGUGUAAAAAUUCUUGUUUAUGAAAAAUACAGCAUAUUAUAAUGAUUUCUGAAGGGUCACCUGACUGAGGACUGGAGCAAUGAUGUUGAAAAUUCAGCUUUGAUCACAGGAAUAAAUUACAUUUUACAAUAAAAAAAAAAAAAAAAACAUUCACUCUUGUCUGAUAUGCUGAAAACUGCUACGUUAAUGUUUCUUUGUGCAUUGUGUGACGAAUAAUGUAAAUGGUAUUAAAAUAUGAAAAAUUCUAAAAGGUCAGAAGUUAUUUGCAUCCCUGGAAAUGAUUGUCCAUCAUUUAACAGUUUUUUUUAUCGUAAACAGUCUGCAAAUAUUGCUGUAUAUUAUUGUCUCGUCAUGUUCAGCUGCUUAUCUUACCUCGGCUCACACUCUUCAAGCAUUAAAAAGUGCCGCGCUGCUCGGUU